GCUGGCGGCAUGCUUAACACAUGCAAGUCGCACGAGAACGUUUCAGCUUGCUGAAACUAGUAAAGUGGCGCACGGGUGAGUAACGCGUGGGUAAUCUACCUCCGAAUUGGGGAUAACAUUGCGAAAGCGAUGCUAAUACCGAAUGACAUCUCAAUAACUUCGGUCUUUGAGAUCAAAGAUGGCCUCUCCAUGGAAGCUAUUGUUUGGAGAUGAGCCCGCGUACCAUUAGCUUGUUGGUAGGGUAAUGGCCUACCAAGGCAACGAUGGUUAGCUGGUCUGAGAGGAUGAUCAGCCACACUGGAACUGACACACGGUCCAGACUCCUACGGGAGGCAGCAGUGAGGAAUUUUGCGCAAUGGGGGAAACCCUGACGCAGCAACGCCGCGUGAGUGAUGAAGGCUUUCGGGUCGUAAAGCUCUGUCAAGUGAGAAGAACCUGCCCUUUGCUAAUAUCAUUGGGCACUGACGGUAUCACUGAAGGAAGCACCGGCUAACUCCGUGCCAGCAGCCGCGGUAAUACGGAGGGUGCAAGCGUUAUUCGGAAUCACUGGGCGUAAAGAGC
rnacentral:rRNA from 1 species